rnacentral:lncRNA from 1 species
CAUCUGUCCACCCAUGUGGUUCCAGACACGUUCAUGUGGCCACCAUGACCCCGUCGGCAUCACAGGGGUAACCAAGGUGAUCCUCCCUCUCUUCCUGUGUCCACUGGGGAUGGUAGAGACCAGCUUAAUGCUUUGAGAUCAGAUCCAUCACGAAAUCCGUAUGUCCUGAGACCUCCUGAAUCUUAAGAGAGCAGCAAGUUCCUGGGACAGAGGAGACAGAAGGGAAUUUCCAGGUUCUUCAGGACGUUCACAACCACACUGAGAAGCAUCUUUGCAGAUAAGUAUUUAAACUUACCAGCCCAUAGCCUACCAGCCUGCCCUCUUCUGGUCUGUGCAGGAAAGUGUAGUAUCCUAGAAUGCCAAAGUGGGAGGGGAAAUGGGUGAUGUAGCUCAUUCUCUUUUCUACCUCUAUGGAAGAAAGAAAGAGCCUGUCCCCAUUUUGUGGGGUCCCAGAAAGGGUGAUUUUCACACUUCACAUUUGGCGUUAGGGCUAGUAUUUCACAAACAUUACCGUCUGGAACUUUUGAAGGCUGAGUUAAAUGACUUCAUCUUGUGUACUUGUAGAACUGCUAUUAGAAGGAGGCUGGGGACUCCCUGAUGAUGUGAACCAGCCCUUCUCUUCUCAGUUUCAGCACUUUGUGAUCAUAUUUAUAAACCUUGGACAGGGCUCCUUGGCCUUAGAGUUAAGUGAAGAGUUAACACUGUGACUUUAGAUGCAUUUUUCUCAGUGUAAGUGUCUGAGCUCAUCUCCAGUUCUGGACUCGUGCCCCCACUCCCGGGUGCUGACAGCAAGCUCUGAAGAUAUGCUGAGAGAGCUCCCUGACUCUCCUGACUCAGGUCUGCCAGUUGAUGAAGACAGCACAGUUGUUACCAAAAACAAAACCUGGCAGAUGGUCCUAGGUCAGGAUUAGUGGUCAUUCUCUGGUCUUCUCCAGACUGGUGACACAGGGUGGUCUUAAAAGAGUCCUAGUCCAGCCUCUGGCUCCCCGAAUUUCCUCUGGUGCAUGGGGCAUCAGGAAAGGGCAGGGGAGAAGGAGGGGGAGCAGAAAAAUAACUGAGGCUGGGCAGAAGGGUCCCUUCCAUUUCCCAUCCAUUGCUUCAAACAAUGGGUGAUUACCGUGCACCUUGAGUGAAUGUCAAGGCAGGAAGGGUUCCAGGGCCACCCAGUGUGGCAGGAGCAGAGCUGGGAUCAGAAUUCUGGAUUCCUGACUCUCCGUUCAGCUGCUAUUCAGCUAUCACCAAGCUGCUGAGUUUGUCCUACUUUCUCCUGGGUCACAUUCUGCUGUUGUUGGGAAACAGGGAGUGAGUGAAGGGAACCUGGGAACCCUUCUCCCCUCACCUUUUAAGGAUGUUCUGGGGUGGAAUAAAGAGAGGUGGAGGGUGGGGUGCCUGGGCCCAGCCUCCCUGGCUCCUGGUCCUUCUUUCUUCAGCAGGGAGUUCUGGCAAGGCCUGGGCCUGGGGAGGGGGCCUGGGUGCAGUUUUCUCCUGCGGUGUGGUUGGCUCUUUUGUCUUCCAGGAUGGGCCUGUGGGGUCUGUGUGGGGAAGGAAGGAGCUGGGAGCCUGGGCUGCCUGUGUGUCGGCUGGAUGCUGCCAGCACCGGCAUGGACCAAGCAACUUCUCUGAGCCAGAUGCUGGGGACGCAGAGGUGAACCCAGAGACAUGAUCCCAUCUGCUCAGAUCUUCAUGUCAGAACACGCUUUAUUACAGUCUCGGCAAGGGGGUGGCUCCAUCUGGGCCGCAUCUCCAGGACUCCUGGCCUGGACUUCUCUUUGGACCUCGGGUGACCUUGGAUUCUGGCCACAGUGACUUAGCGGUCAGACUCCGGUGGUUUUCUAGCCCGCUGGGUGACUCCCUGAAGAUCUCAUCCUCUUCACACCUGUUGGGAUGGAGCCUCCCAUGGAUAGGAACUCUUCCUGGUUGAUGCUCAGCAGAUGACUGAUCUGGCUCUGGAGGACAGCUCCAGGGGUAUGAGGGAGGCCUGGCAGCCCACUACUCCCUCCUCACCUGCUCGGGCCCUGCCUGCUGGGCCCUAUUGUCUGGGUCUGGGGGCCCUUUCCUGCCCCAUGUGAACUUGAUUCCUCCUCGCGUUUCUGCCGGUGACCAGACAGAGCCUGGCCUGGGCCAAGUCCCCACUGACCACACUUUCCCCAAGGCUGGGUCUCAAAGGACCCUACAGGAUGGGGACAGGAACAAGGAUGGGAGUCGGGGAGGGGCUGUCAGGCAGAGGGCAGAUGCAGCUCCUCGGGUGCCGCUGGCUGGAGUCCUUUGUCUCCAUUUGCUCAGUGCGUAAUUGUCAUUUUGUGGGGGACUUCCUUGGUGGGGCUUUUCCAUGCUUUUCCUCUCCCUGAUGGUUACAAAGAGGAGACAGUCAGGAUCUGGGAGGAGCUGGAGCCUUCCCCCUGUGCUGUUGAACUCUGGGAGGGGCAGCCAGAGGGGCUGAGAGUGCACCAUCCUGAAAAGAGAGGGUCUUUAAGAGAUAAGAUUUAGGCUAGGGAAAUUCACUAGAAAGAGACAGGUGGCCCUGGGUUUUUUUUCCUGCCAUCCAAAGGGAACCAGUCUUACCCAAAGGCUUAAGGGGUCACCUUAGCCCAGUCUCAGGACACUCUUCUCCAAUCAGAUCGCUGCUUCUAGUUGCACUGCUCCUGGAUUCUGUUCUUGGGGAACAGAAGGUGGCAGGACAGGCCCCACAAUCUGCAAUUCCAGCUCCCUCCAGAGGAGACAGUCCCAGCGUUUGCAAGAGAGCAGCUUGUGGCCUCCCUUAGGCAAGUUUAAAAGCCAGAUGUCCUUUUUCCCAGAAUGCGGAGUGGUGUGUACUAUUCAUCAGCUUGGGCUGCCACAGCACCAUGCCAGACUGGAUGGCUUAAACAUCAGGAAUUUAUUUUCUGCCAGUUCUGGAGGCUGGAAAGUCCAGAUCAAGGUGUUAAGACUUGGUUUCUGGUGAGGCCUCUCUCCUUGGCUUGCAGGUGGCACCUUCUCACUAUGUCCUCACAUGGCCUUUUCUCUGUGGAGAGGGACAGAGAGCAUGAGCAGGCUCUGGUGUCUCCUCCUCUUCUUAUAAAGACACUAAUAUCACCAUAUUAGGGCUUAAACCUAUGACCUCAUUUAACCUUAACCCCUUAAAGGUCCCAUCUCCAAAAACAGUCACAUAGCAGGCUACUGCUUCAACAUAUGCAUUUGGGGGAGGGGACACCAUUCAGUUCUUAACAGGGUGGUCACCGCAAACAUGGAAAGUCAGAGCCUUCUCCCCUUCAGAAUUCCCGCCCCCACCCAGGGAUGGGGAGGAGGAGCAGAGAGGUAUGGGAAGCAGACACGGAGAGUGGCAGGUACCAUGCUGGGGUGGCUCAGGAGUGCUUCGGAGGACAUAUGGAACUGGCAGGGCUCAGUGCAGGGAGGCGGAGGCCCUGGGAGAGCCGUGUCCUGAGAAGGGCCUGGGCUACAACCCUGGGCAAGUUACUUCACCUCUGAGCCUCCGAUGCUCUGUGAAAUGGAAGGAAUGUGCUUGCCUGUCAGGUGCAGGGAGAAUUCAGUGAGAUUGUGUGCCUAGCACAGUGCCUGACUCCCAGUAGGUGCUCAGCAAAUGCUCCCAUCCAUCUGGGAGUAUAGACUUAGGGUUUAUCUAUUUUUUUUUUUUUUUGGCUCUCUGGACUUUAAAACUCAGCAUCUUCUGAACCAGAGGCAUUUCUGAUUAGCCCUUCCCUACCUAUUUUCCUAGUAUCACUCUUUAAUCAGCUUGGGGAGGUGGCAGCAUUUCAUGGCCUCCGUAGUAACUCACAAUGCUUCCUGGGGUAUUUAAAUUCUACUCUCUCAUCAGCACUGAGCACCUACUUUGGGCCCUUUCCCGUGCUAGCCAUUUGGGGGAAAUAUAGGUGAAGAGUGGCUGGGGUUUGAACCUUUAGGAUUUCACAGCCAUGCUGGAUGGGAUAAAACCAGCUCACAUGGAGAAUCAGAGAAUGGGACAGUGCCACAAAACAGUCUACUGAGGCACAAGUUCUGAGUGCCUGGGAAGUGGUAGAGAGACCCCAGAGAGGGCUGCUGCAGUCUGGAACAGCUUCCUAGCAAGCUGUACCAAACAGGGCCUUGAAGGAUGAGAAAGAUCUGGCUGAGAUGAUACCCGACCCUCUAGGGAAAUUCUUAAAGUAACUUCUAGGAAAUGUCAUUGCUCCUUAAAAAAAAAAAAAAAAAAAAAAAAGCAGGUUCUAAUUCAAAUUCCGCUGCACUACUGAAGUAGUGCAGGACUUAUCAGAACCUUUAAAAUGCUAAUGGCAAUUUCAAAUACUCAGGGACAGGGCAUAGGAUGAAGUGUUCCUUGACUUUUAUGGCCGUAGAAUCUUUUUCUCAUGGAACAUCGUUUAGAACUGUGGGAGAUGCUAGGCUGGGGUUUCUAUGGGAAAAGUACAGCAGUGAUAGAAGAUGGCAUAAUUAGGGUACACUUAGGUGCUUUGUAGCAUUGGCUGAAAAGGAAGCAGACCGGGUGGGCGUGGGGGAGUCUCAACUUGGUUCCAGGAGCCAGGCCAGCUUGAUGCGUUUUUUUUUUUUCUAAUGGUGGGAGGGCAGGCCAAUAGUUGGAGAAACUAGAGGCCUGACAGUCGGUGAUGGAAGAGAUGUCUACUAAGCACGGUUGUCAGAUCUUUUGCGGAGAGAUGCGGGUGUGCGUGUGUCUGUCAGAGUGUAACAGGAUCCAGCCCUCUGGGAAGGGGCUGACCAGAACCAGGCAGGGGGUUUCUGUCUAGGACAAGUAGGGUCCAUUUUCAGGGGAGCUGAAAUAUUUGCAGGGGGUGCUCUGAGACCCACAGCCAAUAAAUAGGGAAGCAACAUGCUUUUGGGCAGGGUCCAUGUGGUUAGGGUUGAUUUUGAUGGGGCUGGGGGGCUUAGAGUUAGACCCCCUGCCCUGGUCAGGCCCCACUCCCUGGCUGGUGGGGGCGGGAGGCCUCUGAAGCUGCAGCUGGAGGGGCCGGGGCAGUGUUGCAUGGUGUGAUUAACCUACUAACCCAGGGCUCAGCCGGGACGCUGUGGCGUGUGACGAGGUGCCUGGCCUUCUGCCAACCAACUAACCCACUAACCAGGCCCGAGCAUGCCCUACUAACCACCCCCCCGCAGCCAGAUCCUACUAACUGUGCAGCUCAUGGGCCUUUCAAGGGGCUGGGAUAUGGGGGCAGCCAAGGCUCCAGAAGGCUCUGCCUAUGGGCUGGGAUCUUUGUGCAGACCCACGUUCCAGGACAGAGAAUGCAAAUAAGACUCACCAACUCUGCCACUUCCUGUUGAGUGAGUUUGAGUAAGUCACCUCACUUCUCUCAACCUCAGUUUCCUCAGUGGUAGAAUGCGAGUUCUGAUACCUUACAGGUUGCAGUGAGGAUUCCCGUCAAUAUAAGGGUCUCAGCACAUGGCAGACACCUAAAAAAAAAAAAAGUAUGAGGAUGGAGGAAGGCCCCUCAAACCUGGUUGAACACGUCUGCUGCCUAGGCCCUGGCCUCUCUGGGUGUUCUGCACACAGAUCCUUCUGCCUGGGGCAAGACACUUGGCUUUGAAUCCAUGUCACUUCCCCACAUUCUUCCUCCGUCUCAGCUUUCUUUUCUGUAGGCAGCUCUUUUGUUCGAUUACUAACCCGUCUAACCCCUGGGGUGCCUCAACUGCACCCCGAUCAUCCCUUAACAAACUAACGGACCUGCGUGCGUUCUUCCUUUUCUCUUAGCGACUCCUGUGUGUGUCUGCUGAGGUGCCCUGUCCGCUGGUGCUGUGCUCUGACUUACUAACCCAGCCCCUACUAACCCUGUUUUCUCUUCUUACUAACCCCAGCCCUGCCGAGCUCUGGGCUCCCCCCGGGGGCUGGUCCCCCUCCUUUUGGCAAGCAGAUGACCUGGGGCUACUGGCCCUGUAGACAGAUGUCCCACUUUGCUGCCCCAUAUUGGCUGUAAGAUCAGAGUCCACUGGGCCAGGUCUAAGGCAGGGGAUGGCCCUAUUAACAAGACUCAGAGGAGGAAGAGGUGGUCCUGUGGAUGUGGGAGGCUGGACUCUGAGUAUGACAUCUCUCCUAUGUGCAGAAGUCUGGUUGCCACUGGGAGUAGGUGGGACCAGGGAAAUCUCUGGGACGUGAGUGUGGAGGCCUGUUGGUCUAGACUCUAGACUGUGGAGCUCUGAGCUUUUGUGUCCUCUGGAAGGAAGCUGGGGAAGAAUCCUCUCCAUUGUUAAGUGACGGGGAUAGAAGCUGUCCUGCACAGGAAGUCACGAGGGGGGCGUAUCCCACGAGGAAGGCAGGAGGGGGCGUGCCCCUCACCGGAAAUUAGCAGAGGGGCGUGUCCCACACCGGAAGUCAGAAAGCGGAGCCUUUCUUACACCGGAAGUCAAUGAAGCGGGUCUUUCCUACGCUAAAAACCACUGAGUGGAGUAUUUAGUACACAGGAAGUCGGCCAGAGAAACAUUUCUCAUAUUUGAAGGCCGGAAAGAGGGACAUUUCUGACACCGGAAGUCAGUGAGAGGACUCUUUCCCACACAGGAAGUCAGCUAGAGAGCCGUCUCCCCUCUCUGGAGCCGAGAGAGGCCGGUUUCCCCCACCACUCUCAGGGUAAAGAAGGAAAUGAGAAAUUGCAAGACAGAGUAUUUCUUAGGCAAUGGCUGAGAAUGGCAACUCACCACAUGCCUUUGAAUAAGACGUGAUUAUUAUUAACCCAUAUUCUAUCAAAGAAGAAACUGAGGCUCAGAGAGGCAACUUACUUGCCAAAGGUCACUCUGCUGAUGUCCCUAAGGCAGAAAAGUGGAGUCGUUUCCUGGCUGCUGCUUGCGAAGAGUGUUACUAGUCUGCAUGGAAGUGUGUGCCACAGCGAUGCAGAAAUCGGAGGUAGCCCACCUGGGAGGAAUUUUCCAGAGAUCACUGUCUGAUGACCCUGUCUUGGAAUUGGAGCCAUGCAAGUUACACUGACCACGUUUGGGUUGGGAUAUUGAGGAGGUUAUGGUUAAAAGCAUACGAUGGGAGAUCAUAUUGUACUUGCGAGUGAGACCCGGCUGGAGGAAUGUUUUAAUUCUUCGGAAAUACCAAGUGGUCUCUACAGAACACUGAAGAUUCUGCUCUCAGGGUGUUGAUUGACGUCUGGAAGGCAGAGACUCGUGGAUUAGCAAGCAUGUGUAAGAAAGUGCUCUGGAUGCCACAGGGUGGUAAUUUGUGCAUGGAAAAUGGCUGGGGUGAAGAGGAGACUAGGCGUGUUUACCUUGGGUGUCUGUCAUUCCAUCCAAGCAAGUCCCAACUCACUCGUCCCGUACCUGAUUCCCAGACCUCUUCAGACGCAGUCAGAGAAAGCAUCUUGUCUUCAUUUUAUAGAGGAGGAAACUGAGGCAAAAGGAAACUACCCGAGUUUAUGCAUAAAGUUCGUAGUAGAACUGGAAUCAAUCGACCCAUCACCCCUUCUAUCAAUCAGUCACAUCACAGUAAUGAAUUUACUGCUACCGAACUGUGCACUUAAAUAUGGUUAAAAUAAUACAUUUUAUGUUUGUUAUAUUCUACCACAAUAAAUAAAUAUUUAGUCUCUAGGCUUCUCAGAUCCUUUCCAUGGAAUUGAAUGAGUGGACACAACAGAGUAGUGUUUUGUUUUGUUUUUUUUGAGAUGGAGUCUCGCUCUGUUGCCCAGGCUGGAGUGCAGUGGUGUGAUCUUGGCUCCCUGUAACCUCUGCCUCCAGGGUUCAAGUGCUUCUCCUGCCUCAGCCUCCCGAGUAGCUGGGAUUACAGGUGUGCACAACCACGCCCAGCUAAUUUUGGUAUUUUUAGUAGAGACGGGGUUUCUCCAUGUUGGCCAGGCUGGUCUCAAACCUCUGACCUCAGGUGAUCCACCUGUCUUGGCCUCCCAAAGUAUUGGGAUUACAGGCGUGAGCCACCACGUCCGGCCCAGAGUUGUGUUUCAAGC